UGAGGAAUUUUGCGCAAUGGGGGAAACCCUGACGCAGCAACGCCGCGUGGGCGAUGAAGGCCUUCGGGUCGUAAAGCCCUGUCGGGCGGGAAGAACGCUCUUGGUCGAAGGACUGGGGGGUGACGGUACCGCCAGAGGAAGCACCGGCUAACUCCGUGCCAGCAGCCGCGGUAAUACGGAGGGUGCACGCGGUAUUCGGAAUUACGGGGCGUAAAGGGCGUGCAGGCGGGGGAGCAAGUCUGAUGUGAAAGCCCGGGGCUUAACCCCGGAAGGGCAUUGGAAGC
rnacentral:rRNA from 1 species